AUGGAUUUUAAAAUGAGAAACUGACCAAAUCUUUGGUAUUAGAGGCAUUUAAAUCAGUUGCAGCAUAAAAAGACACUGAAGCGGUUUGAAUAGAAGCUCUACCUUUAAUAGCCCUCUGGUAAAAUAUUUAAAUUCUCUAGCUGUAAGUCAGUCCUUGUAAAAUGGGGGGGAAAUGUGCUUCCCUUGCAGGUUAUAAGUAUUAAAAAUUAAGCUAAUGCUGUGUAGUGCCAAGCAUAGUGAUGGCAAUUUUGUGCACACGUGGAUGGUUCUUGCUUCAUGCUCACACACACACAUGCUUCCGCAUCCAUGCCCAGUCAGCUCUUUUGUGAGCCCAGGUAUGCCUCCAGGAUCCUGCCCCUCCCAGGAUUCCUGCAGCCACUACCAAUCAGAGGGAGUCAGCCUCGGGACAAAGCGCAGGUGACAUCCUGUCACAUCUAGAUUUCUUAUCUGUAAAAUGGGAAUUGCUAUGGACUGAAUGUUUGUGUCCUCCCCAGAUUCCUCCGUUGAAGGCUUAACUCUCUAUGUGAUUAUAUCUGAAGGUAAGGCCUUUGCUGAACUACUUCAGAUUAAAUAAGGUCAUAAGAGUAGAUCUCCCAUCCAAUAGCAUCAGUGCCCAGUACACCAGAGCUCCUCCUGCCUCCUUCUCUGCCAUGGGAGGACACAGUGAGAAGAUGGCUAAAGGCAAAAACCAGGAAGAGGGCCUUCAUCAGAAGAAUAAGGAGUUCCUGUCAUGGCUCAGCAGAAACGAAUCUGACUAGUAUCCAUGAGGACACAGGUUCGAUCCCUGGCCUUGCUCAGUGGCUUAAGGAUCUGGUGUUGCUGUGAGCUGUAUUGUAGGUCACAGGUGCAGCUCGGAUCCCGCCAUGUGCCUCAGGUGUGGCCCACAAAGACCAAAAAAAAAAAAAGAAGAAGAAGAAGACCAUGCUGUCACCUCCGUCUCCAGAACUGUGAGAGAAAGAAUCUCUCCUGUUUAGACCACACAGUCUAUGGUACUUUGUUACGGCAGCCUGAUCUUACUGAGUCAGGAAUAUCAGAACCUUCCUCAGAUGCUUAUUAUGACAACCAAAGGGGGCAUCACUUACUCAGUCAACAUGAUGGAAUGUCUAUUAUGCAUUGGACUGCGUGUGAAAAGUGCAGGGAGUAUAAAGACUCCCGUGACAGGGAUCCCAUUCCCCAGGAAGCGACUGUCUUAACCAUUUUAACAGACCGUCAGUGCAUGACAGAAACUAGAAGGUGCAUGCUAGCUUGUUGAUACACAUGCACACAAGAGUCUUAAAGAUGCCAGUUGUGUGCAGAGUUAGAUGUAAAUAAUAUACACUAGAGCAUUUGCAUUAUAGGGGAAUCUGGAAAGGAACUUCAAUUUACAGUCGCCGCUGAGCUCUGUAAGGUCAGAUCCCAGAUCUGGAUUGGUUACAUUUUACCAUUUACUCUCUGCCGCUAGCCACAGCCACCAGCGUAGAACAGGAAAUCGUAAAUGUUGUGGCAUAAACAUGUAAAUUAAUGUUAAAGCGUAACAUAUUCCAUUUAACACAUAUAGCAUGACCCAUAUCAAUAAAUGAGGUGAUAAAGGGAACAAAGACACUAAAUUGAUAGCGUAUUGUCUCCACUGAGUGUGAAUGCAUUUUUGUAUAUGAUAAAACUAAGAUUUUACUGACCCCAAAAGAAAUACACUUGCAAGGAUUUAGAGGCCCACACAACAUUUGGAUGGGCAGGGAGUGGGGUUUAGUGAGAGAAGAAGUUUCUGGAUUAGAGGGAGGACCCCACAGAUGGUCUCAUUGCUAUGUUCACCACCGAAGCAGGUGAUUCCCAGGGCCCUCCUUGGCAGCGGGUACCAACUUCUCAUUUUCUCUCUGCCCACACUCUCUGCUAUUUGCUUCAUCUUGAAAACUGUGGAUGUGUACACAUGUGUGACUGAAUCACUUUGUUGUAUAGCAGAAAUCAUCACCACCUUGUAAAUCAACUAUACUUCAACAAAACUUUAAAAAAAAGAAAAAAAAUCAUGUUUUAUGCAUCUCUUAAAGUACCUAGCACAAUGUUUGGUACAUAGAAAAUACCUCAUUCAUGUCUUUUGAGUAAAUGCUCUCUCCUUUUAUUCUCACAACUGAUCAGUGAUGUGGAUGUCAUCAAAGUCAGUGAUGAAAACUUGGAAGAAUCUUAAAAGCAACAACAUUGCCAUAAGAUGGAAUAGUAUGCCACGGUUUUCAAAAUUUUAUCCAUAUGAGAGAACGUUCAUGUUACACUGUUACCUUUAUACACACAAACAUGCACACCUGCCAAACUAUUAUCAGCAGUUAUUUCUGCGUAGUGGAAUUAUAACUUCUUUUUCCCUCUUCUUUUAGAUUUUUAACUUUUAAAACAUUAUCUGCCCAUCUUUUUUAUAUUAAGCUUUUAUUUUAUGAUAAAGAAUGUUACUAAAAAUCAGUCAUUGUAUAAAGGCUUUACCAUGUUAGUUAUUAAUAUUUCAGUACGGAUGAGGAUGCUAAAUUAAUCUAAGCAGUGAUCAGGAACCAUGGGAAGACAGAGAAAAGCAGGUCUUCCUGAGGUCAAAGCAGCAAUAGCCAUUCCUUUUUGCUGUUUUUGAAGAAUGUUCCUCUCCUUACCCAUCAUUCUUCAAAAUUCAAUUCACCACUUGCUGAAUCUCAGGAUUUCAAUCUCGGUUCAGAGCAAAGGUCUCCACUGCCAGAAAGAGCCCCCUGGUCCAUGCUAGAGAAGGUGUAGUUUAUGAGUUCCCCAGCUAGCAGGAGGCUGUGUCCCCAAGGUCGUUUGAGGGGAGCCCAGAAACUCUUCAGCCCUGGGGUUUGAAAGGGUAUGAUACUCUAAGCUUUGAAUUUGCUGCAUUGUUCCAUGUGGAGCAGGGGUUCUCACCUCAGCUCUGCUGACACUGUGAGCUGGAUGAUUAUUUUGGGGUGAUAUCCCAUGAAUGUUUAGUAGCAUCCAUGGUUCCAACUCACCAGAUGCCAGUAGCACUUUCACCCUCCAAGCCAUAACAAGCAAAAAUAUCUACAGAUACUACCAAGUGUUCCCUGAAACCUAUUGUAAAACCUUUAUUCUAUUUUAUGUUAUUUCCCAUCAUGGUCUGUCCUAGUAGACUGUAUAUAGUUUCCUAUGCUAUACAGUAGGACAUUUUGUCAAAGAAUAUAUGUAUGUAUAGACAUAUAUACAUACAUACACAUAUAUAACUGAGUCACUUUGCUGUACAGCUGAAAUUGACACAACAUUGUAAAUCAACUAUGCUUUAAUUAAAAAAGAAAAAAAUGUUCUAAGUGUAGUUAAAGCCAUGGGGUGGGUGGUUACGCAGAAGAGAGAAGUGUGAUAAUCCAGCAAUCUUGUGGACCAAGGACCAGAGGGACCAAGGGUUCAGAAGCAGGGAGAGCAGUGAGAGGGCUAUUCCAAUGGUCCAGAUGAGACAACAGAAUUGAGUGGGAUAUGCAUGGGAAAUAAAGCCAUUAGGACAUUCUAAGGGAUUGGGUUUGAGGUAUGAGGGAAAGAAACAGUAGGACUCCACUUUUAUGGUGCAAGAUAGAGCAUUGUAGUAAAAGCCAGCACUCCAGAAGCGUACUGCCCCACUGUGUAAGUUAUCUGUUAUCCUGGAGUGAGUUAUCUGUAAACUGGAGAUGAUGAAAAUGCCUAUCUACCUCAUAGGGCUAUUGUGAGGGCUACACAAGUUACUGCAUGGAGUGAUCUUAAAAGAAUGGCAACUCAAUAAACAUCCACUGAGGAAAACUGAAGAAGAUCAUAUUUAGAGAAACAAAAAUCGUGGGUGUCCUUAAACAUAUACAUAUUUUUUUUCAAUCAUGCUUUAUUUAAGAAUCUUGUGUUUAUUGUAUCAGUUUCUCAUACCUCACUAGCUGUGGAAGCAGAGGCUGCUUGCUGUGUAUCCAUGAGAUAAACUCAGAUUUUUAUCUGUGGUUUCUAUUAAAAAUCAAUGUGAUUCUAAAUCCAGCUAAUCUCCUUGGUAUAGAUACAUGCACGUGUGUGUGCAUACACACACACAUA
rnacentral:lncRNA from 1 species